GCUCUUUCUUGCACUAAGUAAGAGAGUGCCUUGUUGCUGUUUUUUCUGCACCGCUCCGUAACUUUUCAUACGGCAACAAUGGGCUGCUUUUCCUCAACAAUAUAUUUCUCUCUUAGGAUGCAUGGUUAUGGUAAAGAAAAUCACUUCUGAUUCUGAAACCAAAGAAUACAAUCAAUUUCACAAUGCAAGGGAUAUUAGGUGGAGAAUGCUGCCAGGCAGUGAUGUCGGCCAUCAGGAGCUUAGCCGUUGCAUUCCUUUCCUGCCUCUGUCCUGCAAAUACUCUUGGACCCAGAUAAGUAAAGGAAAACAGGCAGAUUGUACGACAAGCCAUAGGGCAGUAAGUUAUUUCUGAUGUAGAAGUAUGUCUUUAACAAAUGGAAACUAGUAGUAUGAUACUCUAUACAACUUAAUUUUCCUUGCUAAAUUAUGGAAGCACCCAAAGUAGGAUUACAAAAAAAUCUCAAGAAUGUGAUACUAGACCUCAUCCCAACUAAUAGGGGGAAAUCACCCAUUCCACUCAAAGGCACUGAGAUACUCUGCCAUGCAUUACUAUGUUCCCUGAAACCUGUAGUCUGCAGAUAUGUGUAUUUUAGAUGGGGACACAAUCCCAAACUCAGCAGAGGCACUGUCUCUUGCAGGGACAAAAUAUAGCCCUCCUAAGCCCUACUAAGGCAAAAGCUUCCUGCCUACUUAAAGUUAUCUGGCUGCUCUGUGCAGGGGUUGUUCCUACUCCAUACCACUUUGCUUCCAUCACUCUCAGGAACUGGCUGAAGCAGGAAGAGCUGCCCUGCUUGGAGUGGCUGAUCAGUACAAGCUGCUCCUGUCCUAGUAGGAGCAGCUCCCCCAGCUCCUGUAGGUACUUGCAGAGCCACCACCUGCCAGAGGACAGGGAUAGAAUGAAGCUUUUCAGGAUAGAAGAAGGGUGGCUGGUGUAGAGCCUCCCAUGUCCUAUUUCAAAUGUUACUUACAACCAAGUUCAGCUGGCCCUCAACCUCAGUCUCCCUCCAGAUGGUGAUUAUUGUCCACACAUUGGUCUCGAGGCACAAGGCAGCAUGAUCCAGAAUGGCCUAUAGCGAGAUGUUCACAGUUGAAAAGACACAGAACCAAUCAUUGCAGAAGGGGCAGACAGCUGAGAGAACAGCAUGAAACUGCUCCAUGGUCUGAGCAGUGCUGCCUGUACAAUUAAGCAGCUUUCAACAAAUC